UAGGGAAUAUUGGGCAAUGGGCGAAAGCCUGACCCAGCAACGCCGCGUGUACGAUGAAGGUCUUCGGAUCGUAAAGUACUUUUCUGGGAGAUGAGAAAGGACAGUAUCCCAGGAAUAAGCCUCGGCUAACUACGUGCCAGCAGCCGCGGUAAAACGUAGGAGGCAAGCGUUAUCCGGAUUUACUGGGCGUAAAGCGCGUGUAGGCGGUUUGAUAAGUUGGAUGUGAAAUCUCCUGGCUCAACUGGGAGGGGUCGUUCAAAACUAUCAGACUUGAGGACAGUAGAGGAAGGUGGAAUUCCCGGUGUAGUGGUGAAAUGCGUAGAUAUCGGGAGGAACACCAGUGGCGAAAGCGGCCUUCUGGACUGUAUCUGACGCUCAGACGCGAAAGCUAGGGGAGCGA
rnacentral:rRNA from 1 species